UGCUCUUGCACUAUGUAUUAGGCUCUGUAUGAAGCUCUAAUGAGGCAAAAAGAACUGCUAGCUUACAUUCACAGCCAAGAAGAAGCUAGGCUAAGGAAGAAGAAGUUCUGCUGGUGAGUGUUGUUGCUGAAAGAGGAUCUGCACGACCAAGUUUUUCAUACCAUGGUGUUUCUGAGGAUUGCUAAAUGCUGACCCCUUGCACAUGUAAACUCUAAAUAUUGAUUUAUACUUGAUGAUGGAUUUGACUUAACUAAGGAAAUUUUGUAAUGUGUGUAUAGCCAUUUUGGCUUCUUUGCCGAAUUAAACACAAGUUUGCUGUGUCACACUUUUUUCUAUAGUUGUGUUUAAUGUGAUUUGCCUUUAUCAGUUGAAAA